CGGACGGGUGAGUAAUGCUUGGGAAUCUGGCUUAUGGAGGGGGAUAACUACGGGAAACUGUAGCUAAUACCGCGUAAUAUCUUUGGAUUAAAGGGUGGGACUUUCGGGCCACCUGCCAUAAGAUGAGCCCAAGUGGGAUUAGGUAGUUGGUGGGGUAAAGGCCUACCAAGCCGACGAUCUCUAGCUGGUCUGAGAGGAUGACCAGCCACACUGGAACUGAGACACGGUCCAGACUCCUACGGGAGGCAGCAGUGGGGAAUAUUGCACAAUGGGGGGAACCCUGAUGCAGCCAUGCCGCGUGAAUGAAGAAGGCCUUCGGGUUGUAAAGUUCUUUCGGUGAUGAGGAAGGUGCUUGUUUUAAUAGAACAAGCAAUUGACGUUAGUCACAGAAGAAGCACCGGCUAACUCCGUGCCAGCAGCCGCGGUAAUACAGAGGGUGCGAGCGUUAAUCGGAAUGACUGGGCGUAAAGGGCACGCAGGUGGUGACUUAAGUGAGAUGUGAAAGCCCCGAGCUUAACUUGGGAAUUGCAUUUCAUACUGGGUCGCUAGAGUACUUUAGGGAGGGGUAGAAUUCCACGUGUAGCGGUGAAAUGCGUAGAGAUGUGGAGGAAUACCGAAGGCGAAGGCAGCCCCUUGGGAAUGUACUGACGCUCAUGUGCGAAAGCGU
rnacentral:rRNA from 1 species